rnacentral:piRNA from 1 species
UUAUUGAUAAAGGUUUAACUAUCGUGU